rnacentral:rRNA from 1 species
GGUUAAGCGACUAAGCGUACACGGUGGAUGCCCUGGCAGUCAGAGGCGAUGAAGGGCGUGCUAAUCUGCGAUAAGCGCCGGUAAGGUGAUAUGAACCGUUAUAACCGGCGAUACCCGAAUGGGGAAACCCAGUGUGACUCGUCACACUAUCAUUAACUGAAUCCAUAGGUUAAUGAGGCGAACCGGGGGAACUGAAACAUCUAAGUACCCCGAGGAAAAGAAAUCAACCGAGAUUCCCCCAGUAGCGGCGAGCGAACGGGGAGGAGCCCAGAGCCUGAAUCAGCAUGUGUGUUAGUGGAAGCGUCUGGAAAGGCGCGCGAUACAGGGUGACAGCCCCGUACACAAAAGCGCAUGUGCUGUGAGCUCGAUGAGUAGGGCGGGACACGUGGUAUCCUGUCUGAAUAUGGGGGGACCAUCCUCCAAGGCUAAAUACUCCUGACUGACCGAUAGUGAACCAGUACCGUGAGGGAAAGGCGAAAAGAACCCCGGCGAGGGGAGUGAAAAAGAACCUGAAACCGUGUACGUACAAGCAGUGGGAGCCCCACCACUAAGCCAGUGGUGAACUCCACAUACGCAUCCUUUGCUGAGGAUACGGUUAACGGAGCGAAAGCGACGUUCAACCUCAAAAGAAGCAGAGGGGGCUUAGUGGUGGGGUGACUGCGUACCUUUUGUAUAAUGGGUCAGCGACUUAUAUUCUGUAGCAAGGUUAACCGUAUAGGGGAGCCGUAGGGAAACCGAGUCUUAACCGGGCGUUAAGUUGCAGGGUAUAGACCCGAAACCCGGUGAUCUAGCCAUGGGCAGGUUGAAGGUUGGGUAACACUAACUGGAGGACCGAACCGACUAAUGUUGAAAAAUUAGCGGAUGACCUGUGGCUGGGGGUGAAAGGCCAAUCAAACCGGGAGAUAGCUGGUUCUCCCCGAAAGCUAUUUAGGUAGCGCCUCGUGAAUUCAUCUCCGGGGGUAGAGCACUGUUUCGGCUAGGGGGCCAUCCCGGCUUACCAACCCGAUGCAAACUGCGAAUACCGGAGAAUGUUAUCAUGGGAGACACACGGCGGGUGCUAACGUCCGUCGUGAAGAGGGAAACAACCCAGACCGCCAGCUAAGGUCCCAAAGUCAUGGUUAAGUGGGAAACGAUGUGGGAAGGCCCAGACAGCCAGGAUGUUGGCUUAGAAGCAGCCAUCAUUUAAAGAAAGCGUAAUAGCUCACUGGUCGAGUCGGCCUGCGCGGAAGAUGUAACGGGGCUAAACCAUGCACCGAAGCUGCGGCAGCGACGCUUAUGCGUUGUUGGGUAGGGGAGCGUUCUGUAAGCCUGCGAAGGUGGCCUGUGAGGGUUGCUGGAGGUAUCAGAAGUGCGAAUGCUGACAUAAGUAACGAUAAAGCGGGUGAAAAGCCCGCUCGCCGGAAGACCAAGGGUUCCUGUCCAACGUUAAUCGGGGCAGGGUGAGUCGACCCCUAAGGCGAGGCCGAAAGGCGUAGUCGAUGGGAAACAGGUUAAUAUUCCUGUACUUGGUGUUACUGCGAAGGGGGGACGGAGAAGGCUAUGUUGGCCGGGCGACGGUUGUCCCGGUUUAAGCGUGUAGGUGUGUGUUCCAGGUAAAUCCGGUUCACUUUAACACUGAGGCGUGAUGACGAGGCACUACGGUGCUGAAGCAACAAAUGCCCUGCUUCCAGGAAAAGCCUCUAAGCAUCAGGUAACAUCAAAUCGUACCCCAAACCGACACAGGUGGUCAGGUAGAGAAUACCAAGGCGCUUGAGAGAACUCGGGUGAAGGAACUAGGCAAAAUGGUGCCGUAACUUCGGGAGAAGGCACGCUGACACGUAGGUGAAGUGAUUUACUCAUGGAGCUGAAGUCAGUCGAAGAUACCAGCUGGCUGCAACUGUUUAUUAAAAACACAGCACUGUGCAAACACGAAAGUGGACGUAUACGGUGUGACGCCUGCCCGGUGCCGGAAGGUUAAUUGAUGGGGUCAGCGCAAGCGAAGCUCCUGAUCGAAGCCCCGGUAAACGGCGGCCGUAACUAUAACGGUCCUAAGGUAGCGAAAUUCCUUGUCGGGUAAGUUCCGACCUGCACGAAUGGCGUAAUGAUGGCCAGGCUGUCUCCACCCGAGACUCAGUGAAAUUGAACUCGCUGUGAAGAUGCAGUGUACCCGCGGCAAGACGGAAAGACCCCGUGAACCUUUACUAUAGCUUGACACUGAACAUUGAGCCUUGAUGUGUAGGAUAGGUGGGAGGCUUUGAAGUGUGGACGCCAGUCUGCAUGGAGCCGACCUUGAAAUACCACCCUUUAAUGUUUGAUGUUCUAACGUGGACCCGUAAUCCGGGUUGCGGACAGUGUCUGGUGGGUAGUUUGACUGGGGCGGUCUCCUCCUAAAGAGUAACGGAGGAGCACGAAGGUUGGCUAAUCCUGGUCGGACAUCAGGAGGUUAGUGCAAUGGCAUAAGCCAGCUUGACUGCGAGCGUGACGGCGCGAGCAGGUGCGAAAGCAGGUCAUAGUGAUCCGGUGGUUCUGAAUGGAAGGGCCAUCGCUCAACGGAUAAAAGGUACUCCGGGGAUAACAGGCUGAUACCGCCCAAGAGUUCAUAUCGACGGCGGUGUUUGGCACCUCGAUGUCGGCUCAUCACAUCCUGGGGCUGAAGUAGGUCCCAAGGGUAUGGCUGUUCGCCAUUUAAAGUGGUACGCGAGCUGGGUUUAGAACGUCGUGAGACAGUUCGGUCCCUAUCUGCCGUGGGCGCUGGAGAACUGAGGGGGGCUGCUCCUAGUACGAGAGGACCGGAGUGGACGCAUCACUGGUGUUCGGGUUGUCAUGCCAAUGGCACUGCCCGGUAGCUAAAUGCGGAAGAGAUAAGUGCUGAAAGCAUCUAAGCACGAAACUUGCCCCGAGAUGAGUUCUCCCUGAGACUUAGAGUCUCCUGAAGGAACGUUGAAGACGACGACGUUGAUAGGCCGGGUGUGUAAGCGCAGCGAUGCGUUGAGCUAACCGGUACUAAUGAACCGUGAGGCUUAACCUU